UGGGGAAUCUUAGACAAUGGGCGCAAGCCUGAUCUAGCCAUGCCGCGUGAGUGAUGAAGGCCUUAGGGUCGUAAAGCUCUUUCGCCAGGGAUGAUAAUGACAGUACCUGGUAAAGAAACCCCGGCUAACUCCGUGCCAGCAGCCGCGGUAAUACGGAGGGGGUUAGCGUUGUUCGGAAUUACUGGGCGUAAAGCGCGCGUAGGCGGAUUAGUCAGUCAGAGGUGAAAUCCCAGGGCUCAACCCUGGAACUGCCUUUGAUACUGCUAGUCUUGAGUUCGAGAGAGGUGAGUGGAAUUCCGAGUGUAGAGGUGAAAUUCGUAGAUAUUCGGAGGAACACCAGUGGCGAAGGCGGCUCACUGGCUCGAUACUGACGCUGAGGUACGAAAGUGUGGGGAGCAAACAGGAUUAGAUACCCUGGUAGUCCACACCGUAAACGAUGAAUGCCAGUCGUCGGGCAGUAUACUGUUCGGUGACACACCUAACGGAUUAAGCAUUCCGCCUGGGGAGUACGGUCGCAAGAUUA
rnacentral:rRNA from 1 species